rnacentral:rRNA from 1 species
UACGUAGGGUGCAAGCGUUGUCCGGAAUUAUUGGGCGUAAAGAGCUCGUAGGCGGUUGGGUAAGUCGGGUGUGAAAACUCCAGGCUCAACUUGGAGACGCCACCCGAUACUGCUCUGACUUGAGUUCGGUAGGGGAGUGGGGAAUUCCUGGUGUAGCGGUGAAAUGCGCAGAUAUCAGGAGGAACACCGGUGGCGAAGGCGCCACUCUGGGCCGAAACUGACGCUGAGGAGCGAAAGCGUGGGGAGCGAACAGG